GACGAACGCUGGCGGCGUGCUUAACACAUGCAAGUCGAACGGAAAGGCCCUGCUUUUGUGGGGUGCUCGAGUGGCGAACGGGUGAGUAACACGUGAGUAACCUGCCCUUGACUUUGGGAUAACUUCAGGAAACUGGGGCUAAUACCGGAUAGGAGCUCCUGCUGCAUGGUGGGGGUUGGAAAGUUUCGGCGGUUGGGGAUGGACUCGCGGCUUAUCAGCUUGUUGGUGGGGUAGUGGCUUACCAAGGCUUUGACGGGUAGCCGGCCUGAGAGGGUGACCGGCCACAAUGGGACUGCGAUACGGCCCAGACUCCUACGGGAGGCAGCAGUGGGGAAUAUUGCACAAUGGACGGAAGCCUGAUGCAGCAACGCCGCGUGCGGGAUGACGUCCUUCGGGUUGUAAACCGCUUUCGCCUGUGACGAAGCGUGAGUGACGGUAAUGGGUAAAGAAGCACCGGCUAACUACGUG
rnacentral:rRNA from 1 species